CGCGGGAAGAGGCCCGGCGGGCGCGGGCGGGCCCCUCCGAUGCGGCCCCCUGGCCUUGGAGGCGUCUCGCGUGGGCUGCUGCUCGCCUCACGCUCCGCCGGCGCCCUACCUGCAGAUACUCGCCAACGCUCUGGGUUUUCCCCAGCUUUGCCCCCCCACCCCCUUCCCGUGCUGAUCCCUCCUGGCCCCAGAAACUUGCUUUCCUCGGGACUCAGGGCUGGGCCAGUUGCUCGGUCGAGCCGACCCUUCGGGGGGCUUCUCCUCUGCGUAGACCCAGACACGACACCUGUCUGUGACUGUUGAAUAACUUAAAAUCAGACUUCUUAAAGCAGUUCUCUGAAGAGCAUCCGUAAACACUAGGGCAUCCCUUGAUCAUGCUGUCUGACCAGUGAUGAGCAGACAUCUGGGCAGCAGCUACCAUGCAACUCUAGCCGGCUAUCUGCAUUUCAGAGGUUUCGGAGCACCACGACUUGAAGUAAGACCACAUAACAACUGGGAACCUGAGUCCACUUGUUUCUCUUCCACAAAAGAGCCACUGGCUGAGGUAAAUCCUGGUGGUCAUCUGCUGGCUGACCAAUCAUUGUAGUAAGGUGCUGCUUCUCAUUGGCCAAUGAAGUUCAAGCUUCAAGGGACUGAGGAUUUUCUGCUGUGGUCCCGGCACCAGUGACAACUGAGACCAUUAAGGAAGGUGGUUCUGAACAGACUGCUCGUGCCAGCAAGCUCAGGUGCAGGCCCUUCACAUGGUGACCCAUUCUGACUUUCCCUUUGGCCUGAAGACUUCAGCUUCUCAUUGUGAAUUUCAGACUUUGGGGUAUCAUGAGCUCCAGGAUGGUCCCAGUUAAUGCCUUCAACCAUUCACUACAGGGUCUUCUGAGAUCUAGUGCUCAUUACUGUUCUGAUCUCAAUACUGACUGGAGGCUUCACCAAGUAAGCAAAGCUCAAGCUACCUUCUGUUUCUGUCCAGUACAUGCAGGAAGUUCUCUAUAAUCGUUUCCCAAAUAAGCUUGGCUCUGUCCUGCUCUAUAGGCACUGCAUAUACUGGGCCUAGGCAGUUCGUAAAGAUUUACUGUGCAUCCCCUUGCUUUCUGGGGUUUUCUUUGGGGAUGCAGACUUUGAAACUCUUCAUUCCACACCAGGACAGAUGUACUUCCAGGUCAAGCUCCAUACCAUCUUCCCCUGGGAGGAACCUACUCUUGCUGCCCCGAGUGAAUAGACUAUGUACUGCACUA